rnacentral:rRNA from 1 species
UACGUAGGGUGCGAGCGUUGUCCGGAAUUAUUGGGCGUAAAGGGCUCGUAGGCGGUCUGUUGCGUCGGGCGUGAAAACUCGGGGCUUAACCCCGAGCCUGCUUCUGAUACGGGCAGACUAGAGGUAUGCAGGGGAGAACGGAAUUCCUGGUGUAGCGGUGAAAUGCGCAGAUAUCAGGAGGAACACCGGUGGCGAAGGCGGUUCUCUGGGCAGUACCUGACGCUGAGGAGCGAAAGUGUGGGGAGCGAACAGG